rnacentral:rRNA from 1 species
UACGGAGAAUCCAAGCGUUACCCGGAAUUACUGGGCGUAAAGAGUUGCGUAGGCGGUUUGUUAAGUGAAGUGUGAAAUCGUGUGGCUCAACCAUACGUUAGUGCUUCAAACUGGCAGACUUGAGCAUAGCAGGGGCAAGUGGAAUUCCUGGUGUAGGAGUGAAAUCCGUAGAUAUCAGGAGGAACACCAAUGGCGAAGGCAGCUUGCUGGGCUAUUGCUGACGCUAAGGCACGAAAGCGUGGGGAGCGAACGGG